rnacentral:piRNA from 1 species
CAAGUGGGAACUUGCUGAGGUGG